AUUAAAAAAGGGUUUUUUAACAUAUUUCAAGUAAAAUAAUUAAAAGGAUUCGAUACGUUAAAAAACUUUUUUUAAUUAUUUACCACUAAAGGAGGCUAAAUUGGCAUACCAAGGUGCGCUCAGUAAAGGACUACCUAAAGGUAGAUAUACUGAGUAGCAGGGUACACUUAGUAGUGGGUUGCCUCAUACAUUAGCAAGUUGUGGUGCGUUUAAUAGCGAACAAUCCAAGAUUAAGCCUAAAUCUGCAAGGCAAAAUGAAGAAGUAGAAUUCUCUACACCACUCUACACUUGUAAUUAUCUAGAUAAUUUUACAUUUUUGUAUAGCUAGACUUCUCUAAAACUUAGUAGAUGCUUUUAGGUAAGUUGCGCAAGUUGCUCAGGUAGCAUGAAAAGCUUUAGACCUAGGCAAGCCUCCCUAUAAAUAGUGCAUGUCACUUGUCAUUUUGUAUAACGCAUACUACACCAAGCACAAACAAUUCAAGCAUACUUGUAAAGUUCUCUCGUAUUCUUUCUUUCGAGUAAUGAAAUUCUCUUUGAUUACAUUGCUCUUUCUUCUCUCUAGUUUUCUCGCAAGUAUGUUUGCUUAACUAGCAUGAGAAGUUCGAUAGAUUUAUUUAGCAACUUUAGUGUUAGAAGUUAAGUGCCCUACAAAUUGUUGUGCCAAGUAAUCAUCUCAUGACAAUUUGGUCUAUUCCCAACUAAUGUUUCUUUGACAUAUAUCUUUUUUUUUAAAAAAAAAAACAAUUGUGACAUCAUCUUAAUCUGUCCUUAGUUUUUUUUUUCCUUUUGGUUUUUGUAUAGUAGAUUCUAUUCUAGACAAAUGAUAUAUAUUAUUAUUGCAUAAAAAACAAACAAUGGACAUAUAAAAAAAAGAAUAUCAAAUAUAAAAUAACAAUGGUAUACAUAUCAACUAACAAAUGAAACAAUUCAACCAACUAACAUGACAUAGAAUUCCAUUUCCAGCAACAGAAGGGGACAAGAACAAAAGCAACACAUGACAACGAGGCAUAUCAUCAUUAAAUCAAAGAAAAUCAUAAUUUGUUGAAAAUUACAACAUUGCAAAUUGAAAAUAAAUUAUGAGUGGACCAAGAAGCACGUCUGCGUGGUCCUCCACCGCCAAAGCAAUGUGUGUGGUCCAACAAACCAAGUUGUUGGGGUUUAUAUAUAAAGGCGUGUUGGAAUUACUAAAAUUAGUUAUAUAGCUUUUUGAGAGCAAAAACACUAUUUUUUUUUAAUCAAACAAACUUAAAAAAAUAUAUAUUAAUAAGUGGGUCCGAAAAAAAGAAAAGCACUUCAUGGGCCAUAGCAGCACAAGCUAAGCGACGAUUGGAUCCGUGUUCGUUUGGAAUUUGAUGACUUAGUGGACCAUGUUUACUCAUUGAAAACGCCACCAUUAUUUUGUGGUAGGGUCCCUCUGUCAGUGUUAGUGGAGCACUGAUGUCCGUAAUAAGACAAAUGCUACGUUAUGUAACGUACACACUCAACAACAACCACAUAAAUUAUGUGGUUGUUAUUGAGUGUGUAUGUUACAUUAAUUGUAACAUAGGGGCUCCCCCAUAAUAAACCAUGAGAAAACAGCGAUUUUUUUUUUUAAAUAUUCAAAACAAAACCAUUUUGAAUAAAAUUUUUAUCAAUUUUUUGUCAAGUUUUAUUAAGGGUUAAUUUCCGAGCUCAU
rnacentral:lncRNA from 1 species